ensembl:lncRNA
CAGAGAGCGUUGAGCAGGAAGUGAAGGAGGCUGCUUCCACCGCCGGAGAUGCGACUGCUUCAAUUGACAAAACCAAAGCUGCCGCUGCAAAGAAAGGUGAUUAAACUCUGAGGUUACGUUGAGUCUUCAAUUCGAUUUAAUAAAGAAAUGCAAUAAAAAGACGAGCACAAUUAACAUUUAAAACCAACUAUGGAAUCAGAAUUAGAAUGCAAACGCUCUCCUGAGUCACUUCUUAUUGUUUUGCAGAGCCAACGUUAAGAAAAGAGAAAAAAAGUCCGACAGGGGUGAAGAAAGGUCACGACCGUUUCCACUUCACAUGAAUAUUAAUCGGUGACUAAAUCAGCGUUUUAUACAUUUAAGUCUGUUUGUUUCUCAGAGUCAGCCGUGAGAGACAAAACCAAACCUGCUGCUAAGAAAGGUAGAGAAUGCAAACUAAACAACGCCAGCUGCACAACACUGGCACGCGAAUAGAGAAACAACGCGUGAACUCUCUUAUCUCCUUUCGCAGACGCGGCUCUGAAAGAGAAAACCAAACCUGCUGCUAAGAAAGGUAGAGAUCAGCAGCCCGAGGGGUCGAAGAACGAUUCCUACUUUAUUUAUAAGACUGAUUCUCCUCCUCUGUGUGACGGAGCUUAUCGGGGAAAUGAUUCAGGCGACUAAUCGCCACUCUUUCCUCAUUAUUUCAGAGGCCGAAGCCGCUCGACAGCUGAAGAAAUCGGCCUCUGAGGAGAAAGAAGCGCCGCCCGCCAGGAGCAAAGUCAAGGCUUCUGUGGCCAAGAGAGGCCCAGAACCGCGUCCGCAGCCCACGGAACUGAGAUCCCGGCCGGAGGCGGCGAGGAGGGCGAAUGCCACGUCUCAGGCGAAGGAGCAGAAAGCCGCCGGGGCUCCGUCUGAACCAGACAAAACAAGAUCCAAAUUAUUGGCGGACAAGAAAAGCAGAGCUGAGAAGGCCGAGAGGAAAGGUGUCAGAGAGGCCGAAGAUGGAGACAAAGAACCAUCACAGGCCAAAGAAACGCAGGUCGAUGACAACGCGGCGGCAAAGAAGAAACCAAGCCAGCGGUACUUCCAGUGCAUCUACGUCCCCGGUAAAAGCGCACAGUACCCCUUGCGACCUUUGACCCCGGCCGUGUCCCCCGCCAUGAUGACGCCCGCCAUCAGGUCCAUGUUGGAGCAGCAGCAGAGGGCGGCGAGGACGUCGGGACAAUAGCCGGGUCUCCCCCACCGCCCCCACCCGCCCCUCACGCCCCCCCACCCACCCCCCCCGGUGCGUUCAGGCGUCCUUCGCCUCCGGAGGAGAGGAAACCACGGACGGAGAAGAGCGGACGCAGACUAUCGCGUCCUUUCAGUUAUUUGUGUGUUCAUGUCCCGCCCGCGGGGGGGUGGGGGGGGGGGGG